rnacentral:rRNA from 1 species
GCGAACGCUGGCGGCAGGCUUCACACAUGCAAGUCGAGCGGGCAUAGCAAUAUGUCAGCGGCAGGCGGGUGAGUAACGCGUGGGAACGUACCUUUUGGUUCGGAACAACUGAGGGAAACUUCAGCUAAUACCGGAUAAGCCCUUACGGGGAAAGAUUUAUCGCCGAAAGAUCGGCCCGCGUCUGAUUAGCUAGUUGGUGAGGUAAUGGCUCACCAAGGCGACGAUCAGUAGCUGGUCUGAGAGGAUGAUCAGCCACAUUGGGACUGAGACACGGCCCAAACUCCUACGGGAGGCAGCAGUGGGGAAUAUUGCACAAUGGGCGCAAGCCUGAUCCAGCCAUGCCGCGUGAGUGAUGAAGGCCCUAGGGUUGUAAAGCUCUUUUGUGCGGGAAGAUAAUGACGGUACCGCAAGAAUAAGCCCCGGCUAACUUCGUG